GCACAACAUAGCAUCUGCUCUCCUCUGCCUUCUCAAAGCUGUUAGAAAUCGGCCUCAUAUCUAUUUUGUGAACCUGUUCGAAAAUUAUGCUUCUUUUAAAGCCAGGGAGACAGCUGCAAAAGAGCAGGAAGGGCAGGAGCAGGAAGAAGCCUCCAGGAGGGAGAAAGCACAUCUCUGGGAGAUGGAUGAGGACGAGUAUGAUGCCCUCACUGAGGAGCAGAAAACUCAGUUUAAUAACAAUAUACGACAAGUCCAGCAAGAGAGGAAGAGGAGGGAGAUGGCUCAAGUGCUUGCAAAAAAGCACCGGCAGGAGCUAGAGCACUUGAAGAAAGAAGAAGAGCUGAAAAAGAUGUCUAAGCGGGGGAAGAGGGGUCUUGGAAAAGACAAAGAUAAUGCUCUGGGGAAGAAAAGCUAUUCUGGAGUCAAGCAGGUAAGUAGUUGUGUUUAUAAAGAUGUGUAA
rnacentral:lncRNA from 1 species